rnacentral:tRNA from 1 species
UGCCCCGUAGUGGAGAACACGCUGGAUUGCAAAUCCAGAAACGCAGGCAAACAGUUUGCCGGGGCUU